AACGAACGCUGGCGGCAUGCCUAACACAUGCAAGUCGAACGAGACCUUCGGGUCUAGUGGCGCACGGGUGCGUAACGCGUGGGAACCUGCCCUUAGGUUCGGAAUAACUCCCCGAAAGGGGUGCUAAUACCGGAUAAUGUCUUCGGACCAAAGAUUUAUCGCCUUUGGAUGGGCCCGCGUUGGAUUAGCUAGUUGGUAGGGUAAAAGCCUACCAAGGCGACGAUCCAUAGCUGGUCUGAGAGGAUGAUCAACCACACUGGGACUGAGACACGGCCCAGACUCCUACGGGAGGGAGCAGUGGAGAAUAUUGGACAAUGGGCGAAAGCCUGAUCCAGCCAUGCCGCGUGAGUGAUGAAGGCCUUAGGGUUGUAAAGCUCUUUUACCCGGGAUGAUAAUGACAGUACCGGGAGAAUAAGCACCGGCUAACUCCGUG
rnacentral:rRNA from 1 species